GACGUAGGGCGCGAGCGUUGUCCGGAUUUAUUGGGCGUAAAGAGCUCGUAGGCGGUUUGUUGCGUCGGCUGUGAAAUCCCGAGGCUCAACCUCGGGUCUGCAGUCGAUACGAGCAAACUAGAGUGUUGCAGGGGAGACUGGAAUUCCUGGUGUAGCGGUGAAAUGCGCAGAUAUCAGGAGGAACACCGGUGGCGAAGGCGCUCUGCUGGACCAUAACUGACACUCAGGGACGAAAGCUAGGGGAGCGAAUGGG
rnacentral:rRNA from 1 species